GGGGCGGCAGUAGCUCAGUCCAUAGGGACUUGGGUUGGGAACCGGAGGUUCGCCUGUUCGAGUCCCCGUCCGGACCAAAUAUGGAGCGUGGACUGGUGGCUGGAGAGGUGCCAGAUCACCUCCUGAGCACUGCUGAGGUGCACCAAACCCCCCCCAACCGCUCCGGGCACCUGACCAAGGCAGCCUCCUCACUCUGACAUCUCUCCACUCUGUGCAUGUAUAGGUCCUGUUUGUGCAUGUGUGUCUUUCAGACUUGUGUAUUAAUGACAAAAAGAGUGAAAAAAUUGAA